rnacentral:rRNA from 1 species
GAGUUUGAUCCUGGCUCAGAACGAACGCUGGCGGCGUGGAUAAGACAUGCAAGUCGAACGGGACUUGAUUUGUAGUAAUACCGAUCAAGUCUAGUGGCGAACGGGUGCGUAACACGUGAGUAAUCUGCCGGGAAGUGGGGGAUAGCUCGCCGAAAGGCGAAUUAAUACCGCAUGUGGCCAUUCUUCGAUUGGAGAAAAAGCCAAAGCCGUAAGGCGCUUCCUGAUGAACUCGCGGCCUAUCAGCUAGAUGGCGGGGUAAAAGCCCACCAUGGCUAUGACGGGUAGCUGGUCUGAGAGGAC